rnacentral:rRNA from 1 species
GAUGAACGCUGGCGGCGUGCCUAAUACAUGCAAGUCGAGCGAACAGACGAGGAGCUUGCUCCUCUGACGUUAGCGGCGGACGGGUGAGUAACACGUGGAUAACCUACCUAUAAGACUGGGAUAACUUCGGGAAACCGGAGCUAAUACCGGAUAAUAUAUUGAACCGCAUGGUUCAAUAGUGAAAGACGGUUUUGCUGUCACUUAUAGAUGGAUCCGCGCCGCAUUAGCUAGUUGGUAAGGUAACGGCUUACCAAGGCAACGAUGCGUAGCCGACCUGAGAGGGUGAUCGGCCACACUGGAACUGAGACACGGUCCAGACUCCUACGGGAGGCAGCAGUAGGGAAUCUUCCGCAAUGGGCGAAAGCUUGACGGAGCAACGCCGCGUGAGUGAUGAAGGUCUGCGGAUCGUAAAACUCUGUUAUUAGGGAAGAACAAAUGUGUAAGUAACUAUGCACGUCUUGACGGUACCUAAGCAGAAAGCCACGGCUAACUACGU